rnacentral:rRNA from 1 species
GUGAUGGGGUGCGAGAAGCCGCAGUUAGACUAAGGGGGGAAGGGUGAAUCGUGAUUAAUUGGCGUAAAGGGGUCGGAGGCGGUUAUUUGAGUCGGCCGGGAAAACCCCGGUCUCAAACUGGGAAGGUCGGUGGAUACUGGAUAGCUAGAGUGUGGCAGAGGAUUGUGGAAUUCCCGGUGGAGCGGUGAAAUGCGUAGAGAUCGGGAGGAACAGCAGUGGCGAAGGCGGCCAUCUGGGACAACACUGACGCUGAAGCACGAAAGCGUGGGGAGCAAACAGGAUUAGAUACCCGAGUAGUC